GAAAUCGGGAUUAAUACUCCAUAAUAUCCAUUUAUCUCAUGUUAGUUGGAUUAAAGCUCCGGCGGUUGAAGAUGGGCAUGCGUGACAUUAGUUUGUUGGUGAGGUAACGGCUCACCAAGACUACGAUGUCUAGGGGUUCUGAGAGGAUUUUCCCCCACACUGGUACUGAGACACGGACCAGACUCCUACGGGAGGCAGCAGUAAGGAAUAUUGGGCAAUGGACGAAAGUCUGACCCAGCCAUGCCGCGUGCAGGAUGACAGCCCUACGGGUUGUAAACUGCUUUUAUACGGGAAGAAUCCCCCUCACGUGUGAGGGGUUGACGGUACCGUACGAAUAAGCAUCGGCUAACUCCGUGCCAGCAGCCGCGGUAAUACGGAGGAUGCAAGCGUUAUCCGGAUUUAUUGGGUUUAAAGGGUGCGUAGGCGGAAUGGUAAGUUAGUGGUGAAAUCCCCCGGCUCAACCGGGGAACUGCCAUUAAUACUGCCGUUCUUGAGUAUAGUUGAAGUGGGCGGAAUGUAUCAUGUAGCGGUGAAAUGCUUAGAUAUGAUACAGAACACCGAUAGCGUAGGCAGCUCGCUAAACUAUAAC
rnacentral:rRNA from 1 species